rnacentral:rRNA from 1 species
AGAGUUUGAUCCUGGCUCAGGAUGAACGCUGGCGGCGUGCUUAACACAUGCAAGUCGAACGAUGAUCCCAGCUUGCUGGGGGAUUAGUGGCGAACGGGUGAGUAACACGUGAGUAACCUGCCCUUAACUCUGGGAUAAGCCUGGGAAACUGGGUCUAAUACUGGAUAUGACCUUCCACCGCAUACGCCCUACGGGGAAGCUAGGGACCUUCGGGCCUUGGCGUUAAUGGAGCGGCCGAUAUCUGAUUAGCUAGUUGGUGGGUAAAGGCUCACCAAGGCGACGAUCAGUAGCUGGUCUGAGAGGACGACCAGCCACACUGGAACUGAGACACGGUCCAGACUCCUACGGGAGGCAGCAGUGGGGAAUUUUGGACAAUGGGCGCAAGCCUGAUCCAGCAAUGCCGCGUGAGUGAAGAAGGCCUUCGGGUUGUAAAGCUCAUUUGUCAGGGAAGAAACGGCUCCAGCUAAUAUCUGGGGCUAAUGACGGUACCUGAAGAAUAAGCACCGGCUAACUACGUGCCAGCAGCCGCGGUAAUA